AAAAAGGCAAACCGUGGGUUCCCGUGCCAACGUUUGACUGUCCGUCUUAUAUGAAAUUUUUUUAUAAUUAGUAUUUUCAUUGUUGUUAGAUGAUAAAACAUGAUUAACACUUUAUGCGUGACUUAUCUUUUUAAUUUUUUUAUAAUUUUUUAAAUAAGACGGACGGUCAAACGUUGGACACGGAAAUCAGGGUUUGUCUUUUU
rnacentral:pre_miRNA from 1 species